GAAUUCACUAGUGAUUCAGGCCUAACACAUGCAAGUCGAGCGGGGUUUUCGGACCUAGCGGCGGACGGGUGAGUAAUGCGUAGGAAGCUACCCGAUAGAGGGGGAUACCAGUUGGAAACGACUGUUAAUACCGCAUAAUGUCUACGGACCAAAGUGUGGGACCUUCGGGCCACAUGCUAUCGGAUGCGCCUACGUGGGAUUAGCUAGUUGGUGAGGUAAUGGCUCACCAAGGCGACGAUCCCUAGCUGGUUUGAGAGGAUGAUCAGCCACACUGGAAGUGAGACACGGUCCAGACUCCUACGGGAGGCAGCAGUGGGGAAUAUUGGACAAUGGGCGCAAGCCUGAUCCAGCACGUGCCGCGUGUGUGAAGAAGGCCUUCGGGUUGUAAAGCAAAAGGAGUAGGGAGGAAGAGUUGAGUGUUAAUAGUACUCAGCUUUGAC
rnacentral:rRNA from 1 species